GAUAAACGCUGGCGGCGUGCCUAAUACAUGCAAGUCGAGCGAACAGACGAGGAGCUUGCUCCUCUGACGUUAGCGGCGGACGGGUGAGUAACACGUGGAUAACCUACCUAUAAGACUGGGAUAACUUCGGGAAACCGGAGCUAAUACCGGAUAAUAUAUUGAACCGCAUGGUUCAAUAGUGAAAGACGGUUUUGCUGUCACUUAUAGGUGGAUCCGCGCCGCAUUAGCUAGUUGGUAAGGUAACGGCUUACCAAGGCAACGAUGCGUAGCCGACCUGAGAGGGUGAUCGGCCACACUGGAACUGAGACACGGUCCAGACUCCUACGGGAGGCAGCAGUAGGGAAUCUUCCGCAAUGGGCGAAAGCCUGACGGAGCAACGCCGCGUGAGUGAUGAAGGUCUUCGGAUCGUAAAACUCUGUUAUUAGGGAAGAACAAAUGUGUAAGUAACUAUGCACGUCUUGACGGUACCUAAUCAGAAAGCCACGGCUAACUACGUG
rnacentral:rRNA from 1 species